UAGGUGACAAGCGUUGUCCGGAUUUACUGGGUGUAAAGGGCGUGCAGCCGGGCUGACAAGUCAGAUGUGAAAUGCACAGGCUUAACCUGUGAACUGCAUUUGAAACUGUCAGUCUUGAGUACCGGAGAGGUCAUCGGAAUUCCUUGUGUAGCGGUGAAAUGCGUAGAUAUAAGGAAGAACACCAGUGGCGAAGGCGGAUGACUGGACGGCAACUGACGGUGAGGCGCGAAAGCGUGGGGAGCAAA
rnacentral:rRNA from 1 species